AAUGAACGCUGGCGGUAUGCCUAAUACAUGCGAGUCGAGCGACCACACAAGGAGCUUGCUCCUCUGACGUUGGCGACGGACGGGCGAGUAACACGUACAUAACCAACCUAUAUGACGGGGAUAACAUCGGGAGACCACUGCUACUACCAGCUCAUAUAAUCUACCGCAUAGUUCAGGAGUGCUUCGGGGUUUUGCUGUCACUUAUAGAUGGAUCCGCGUCGCAUUAGCUAGUUGGUAAGGUAACGGCAUACCAAGGCAACGAUGCGUAGCCGACCUGAGAGGAUGAUCAGCCACACUGGAACUGAGACACGGUCCAGACUCCUACGGGAGGCAGCAGUAGGGAAUCUUCGGCAAUGGGCGAAAGCCUGAUGGAGCAACGCCGCGUGAGUGAUGAAGGUCUUCGGGUCGUAAAACUCUGUUAUUAGGGAAGAAAAAAUGUGUGAGUAAAUAUGCCUGUCUUGACGGUACCUAAAGAGAAAGCCACGGCUAACUACGUG
rnacentral:rRNA from 1 species